CCCUUAGAUGUUCUGGGCUGCACGCGCGCUACACUGAAGCGUUCAACGAGUAUUCACCUUGCCCGGGAGGGUUGGGUAAUCUUUUCAAAACGCUUCGUGAUGGGGAUAGAUUAUUGCAAUUAUUAAUCUUCAACGAGGAAUGCCUAGUAGGCGCAAGUCAUCAGCUUGCGUCGAUUACGUCCCUGCCCUUUGUACACACCGCCCGUCGCUCCUACCGAUUGGGUGUGCUGGUGAAAUGUUCGGAUCGGCCGUUUGUCGCGGUUUCCGCGGCUCGUGGCUGAGAAGUUCAUUAAACCCUCCCACCUAGAGGAAGGAGAAGUCGUAACA
rnacentral:rRNA from 1 species